rnacentral:rRNA from 1 species
UACGGAGGAUCCAAGCGUUAUCCGGAUUUACUGGGUGUAAAGGGAGCGUAGACGGCCAUGCAAGUCUGAUGUGAAAACCCGGGGCUCAACCCCGGGACUGCAUUGGAAACUGUGCGGCUGGAGUGCCGGAGAGGUAAGUGGAAUUCCUAGUGUAGCGGUGAAAUGCGUAGAUAUUAGGAGGAACACCAGUGGCGAAGGCGGCUUACUGGACGGUAACUGACGCUGAGGCUCGAAAGCGUGGGGAGCAAACAGG